UCAUCAUAUAGAGUUGGACAUCAUAAUGACAGUUAAUAAAAUGAAAUUCUAAUUAUGUUUUCCUUUUCAUUGCUAAGUUUUUCUUAAGGAAAAGAACUUUCAGAAGGUAAGCAAGAAAAACACUUGAGUGCCAGGAAAUGAGAACAUAUUCAGCAAAAUGAACACCUUGAUAUAAAUGAUACCCAAACAGUCUUUCCUGGCUUUCAUGUGAUCUAUUAUGAGAGAUCUGACUGGCAGCUAUUUCCACAAUUAAUUGAUCCUGGAAAAUUUGGCAAGCUUUACUCUUCUCCAGUUCAAGAAUUGGACAACUGCUCACUUUUAUCCACGUUUUCCAUCCAGCCCUGGAGCCAGGUGACCUGACCUAUAUGAACUGCUUCAAGAGUUUCGUUUGCCUUCUGACUUCAGGAUGGAUGUAGUCAACGGCAGUGGGAAGAUCCACAGCCUAAAGGAACGCCCUGGCGUUGCUCCUUGAAAUCUUCCGGCGGCCGGCAUGCCAGGAUAUUGAAUGAUACAAUGUAAAAGGUUAAGUGCCUUAUUUGAUGCACCCUGACAUUUUCCUUUCUU